AACUGAUACUACCUGCGGGAACCUGCGGAAGGAUCGUUACCGAGUUAUACAACUCCCAAACCCACUGUGAACCUUACCUCAGUUGCCUCGGCGGGAACGCCCCGGCCGCCUGCCCCCGCGCCGGCGCCGGACCCAGGCGCCCGCCGCAGGGACCCCAAACUCUCUUGCAUUACGCCCAGCGGGCGGAAUUUCUUCUCUGAGUUGCACAAGCAAAAACAAAUGAAUCAAAACUUUCAACAA
rnacentral:misc_RNA from 1 species